rnacentral:misc_RNA from 1 species
AACUUUCUGCAACGUAUCUCUUGGUUCUGGCAUCGGUUAAGAACGCAGCGAAAUGCGAUAAGUAAUGUGAAUUGCAGAAUUCAGUGAAUCAUCGAAUCUUUGAACGCACAUUGCGCCCGCCAGCAUUCUGGCGGGCAUGCCUGUCCGAGCGUCAUUUCAACCCUCGCGCCCGUCUGGGCCGCGGCGUUGGGGACCGGCCCGCCCCCCGGGGCGAGCCGCCCCCCAAAAUCAGUGGCGGUCCCGCCGCAGCCUCCCCUGCGUAGUAGCACACCUCGCACCGGAGCGCGGCGCGGCCACGCCGUAAAACCCCCGACUCCCACGAGUUUGACCUCGGAUCAGGUAGGAAUACCCGCUGAACUUAAGCAUAUCAAUAAGCGGAGGCU